rnacentral:rRNA from 1 species
AUGAGUCUCCUAUGCUGGAACUGCCGUGGAAUUGGCAAAGCCGCGACAGUUCGGUUGCUUUGCAACCUCGCAAGGCAGUUUGCCCCGUCUAUUCUUUGUAUUCUUGAAACACAAAUAGAGGGUUCGAGGGUAGAGAAUUUGGCAGAUGGUUUAGGAUUCAAUAAAAGUUAUGCAGUCAGUAGUUCUAGACAGAGUGGUGGUCUUUGUAUUUUCUGGAAUGAUGAAAUAAAAGUGGAAGUUAUCGGUUACUCGGGGUACCAUAUUGAUGUAUUAGUAGAGAAUAUGGUAGAUAUGCAGGUCAGAAUCACGUUUGUCUAUGGAGAGGCUCAGGUACCGGAAAGGCACAACACUUGGAAUACUGAAUAUAACUGA